GGUUUAUGGACAGUCACUCCGUUCUCUGCUUUAUAAGGGCACCUGCCUCAAUCAGUGCACAGGAUGGACAGCACGCACUCUGUAAGAAAGCAGUAUUUCCCAGUUCAAUGCAUGUGUUAUUUACUGCACGCUGUCCAGCCCCAGCUCUGAAGCAGAAUUAUCCCUUAGGAGGUUUCCUGCAGAGCUCAUCACCAACACAUCUGAGUGCUUCACACCAUUAACUGUUUAGUUUUCCUCUCUGAGAUGCGUACARUUCCCACAGAGAGAAGGUGGUAAAACACAACAGCAAAAGCAAAAYGCCAUCUGUCUAUUAUGGAGUCUCCGAUUGGAAGUGCCAAGGAACUGAUUUUCCAGACAGCUU
rnacentral:lncRNA from 1 species